GGCCGGCCGCCAUAUUGGAGCCCUGGAGCUGCGGCGGGCCAAGGCUUCGUGGGGCUCGUGGAGCUGAGAGGUGGCAUGGUGUCUGACCCCUGCCCCAACCACUGAAUUUUCGUUACGUCCUGGAUUGCAAAGGACCUCAGAGCAAUCUUUGGUAGAUAACAUGAUCACGAAGGAUUAUAGCUUUGCCCUGAUAAUGACAAAGGAAGUAUCUACCAGAAGAAGUUAGCACUUAAUCUUUCUUACCCCACCAGCGAAUGUAAACGACAUUGAAAAGGGACUACAAGUAAGCAAUCUUACUCGGACUGAUGCUGAAUGAACUAAUGCUUGUAUUCAAAGUUGAUAACCAUGGAAAACUUUUUUGUUACCUCUAUAUUAAUUGUGCAAAAUAAUGUGUUUCGUUGUGACAUCUUCAUGCAAGUAAUGUUAGUUAACACGUUCAUCAACCCCUUCCCUUACCCACCAAUGAAAAUGCAUUCAGAUUACUUAAAGGACUUUGGAGCCUAUUUGCUCUGCAUCUCAAAUUACACCUUUUCCCCAGUAACUAAAACAGUACUGUGUGUUUGUUUUUCAGGUUCUGAGGUUCACUAGAGAAAGAUACUAGAAGACCUGCUGAGGGUCUCUGAGAAGUUAAAAAUGCUGAUAUGCAUAAUUUGUGUAUUUUAUUUUUCCCUCCUGAGCUUUUCGAAGGAGAUGCAUAGCUUGGUGGUGAGGAUUCACACAGCACGGUCAAGACCCUGGAUUGGAUCCCUGGCACUGGUUUGUUUGUAUCAGUGAAAAUACACACUGUGCCUUUGUUAGAAGUUAAUAAAAUUCAGCUGACAUGUAGAUCUUCCUUUCAAAAAGCUAGGCAGGCUGCUUUUAAAAUUGCCAAAACACAAUAGGAACCCUCAAAGAUAUAUGGAGAUGAUGGUAGUUAAUAGGCAGUUUUCAAAGACUUGGCUUAUGUUGUGAGAAGCAGCCCCAGAAGUGGCAAAAGCCAUUCUUGUGACUUCAGCAACCUAAAAACCUCAGAAAUAUGACGAUUCUUCUACCUGUAAUGAUGGUAAGUACCAAAAAGGAAACAGUAUUUACCGUUUCUCUUCUGCCCUUUGAUUGAAAUGUAGAAAUGGUUCAGACUAAUGAGUCUUUGUUUUAAUAAGAUAUUUAUAUGAGUAAUAACCUUAGCUUGAGUUAUGUGGAAGACUGAUGUAUUGAAAGAAAAUAACAGGUUGGAUGAAAAUAGUGUGAAAAAUGGGGCCGAUAUAAUGUGAUGGGUUCUAUAAAUUUGUCAUGUAUUUGAAGUAUUCUAGCCUUCUAUAUAAUGGAUAGUCAACCAAAAUGUGUGGAAAAAAUAUCAGUGUCUUUUAUAAACACUACAAAUUAAGUCUUAACUUUCAUAGGAAAAAAAUUCCAUAUUCUUUAGAAACUUAUGGGAAAACAUUUUACCAGGAAAAAAAAUGUAUCUUUCAGACCUCUUUGAUUAUGGUAAAUGCCACUCCCCAUUUCCUUACAUUGAUACAGAUAGGCACAUCAUUUAGCAAGUACGGUUUGGGGGUUUUUUAUCUUUUUCCCUUGGAGUAAAUCUUCAUUUUACCUAAUAAGAGAACUAAAAUUUUUCAUAUUUUAGAUAUUCUUUCACAUAGAUUUUUGCUGCUGGAUUUCCUACAUGGUUUAAGUAAGGUAAAUGGAACAAAUGUCUCUCAAAAUUUGAAAUCUAAAUGACAUCAGAUUUAAAUUAAUGACUACCUAGAAAAGCAAGCUUUCCUUAUCUUAAGAUCACAUUUCUCAGAUUUUAACAGGCUUGGAUAAUUAAAGGGGCACUAGAAAACAUGUCUUUGCAAGAAUAUAUGCUGAUAAACUAUAUGUGUUAAUAAAUAUAACCAUUUCCAGAAAUUCAGAUAUGCAGAAAUGCUCAUCUGCAACCAGUUUGGUAAGUGGGUAUACAUUCAUAGGUCUUUGAGAAUUUUUGAUGAUGCUGUCUGCAAGAAUUUGCUAUAAACUGGAAUCUUCUGAUUUGUAUUUUUUUAUACACAGCUUUAUUGAAAUGAAAUUCACUUAUACACUUCACCUAUAUAAAGAGUGCAAUCCAAUGGGUUUUAGUUUGCUCAGAGUUUGAGCUAUCAACACAGUUAUACAAAAAAAAAAAAACUAUGCAAAACCGUUCUUGUAAGUAUAAGAAAAUAAUUUAGAAUGAUGUUCUUCUAAAGUGGUACUAUAUAAAGCUUACUGUGGGUAAUGUCUUAGAGUCCUUCAAUUAUAGUUGCAAUACUGCAAGUAAAUAGUAUGUUCCUUGUAUGUAAUAAGUGACCUUUACUAGCAACAGAUUAUUGUGUAGCAUAGAUUACUGGCAGUUACAUGAUAUAACACUGUCACAGUUGAGAAUUCUUUAAGGGUGACGCAUACUUAAAUUGAUUGCUUUCUUUUUCUGUGUGAUUAUCAUGCUGGGCAUUAGGUAUGCCUUAAUUGAAUUUUAGUCCCUGAGUCUGUUCCAUGUCCAGUGUUUAUGUUUGUGUCUUUCUAAAACUUGACUUUAUCUUUGCUUUAGAGAUGACUCCUGAGCAUUUUUUUCCAAGCUAGCAUUGUUUCCCCAUGAAGACUAAAUUUUGUUAUGUUUCAUGUAAACUCUGAGUUAACAAUAUAGUGAAGAGUCACCAGAUUUCAGGGUUUAAGGAAUGAAUGAAUGGAAUAGAGCAAAGCAGGUAUCAAAUGAAGAUAAGCGGUUUGAAUCUCUAAAAGAUAAAUCUUGGUAGGGGCAGGUAGAAUUAAAAGGUUUAUUUUAAGUGUUAGAAGCAACAACCUACUUAUUUAAAUAUUUACUUUUAAAUAUUUAUAUACUUGAGUAUUUUGCCAUCAGAAGAGAGUGUCAGAUUGCCGUGGAACUAGAGUUAUAGGUGGUUUUGAGCCACCAUGUGGGUGUUGGUAACUGAACUUGAUCUUUUGAAAAGCAACAAGUGAACCAACUCUGUCCUCUCACAAGAGGAUAUAUCCUCAGACUUUAGUUUCUUUUUUGGUUCUUUUUUUUCGGAGCUGGGGACCGAACCCAGGGCCUUGCGCUUCCUAGGUAAGCGCUCUACCACUGAGCUAAAUCCCCAGCCCCCAGACUUUAGUUUCUUAAUCCCCUCUUAGAAAGUAAAGUCUAGUCCUAAGUCGUGUACAGUGAUCACGCCCUAAAGCAAUCUGAGGACAUUUAAACUUACUGGGGAAACCCAGCCAAAAAGGCAAAGAAAAGGAUCUCUGAAAUACUUUUGCAGUAAUUUUCUUGCAUAAUACUCAGUGGUUUGGGUUUCUUUCUAAAACCCAGCACUGGAGGUAGAAAGAGGGAAAACUGUGACUUGGAGCCCAGCCUAGACUGUGUGGGGAAUUCCUGUCAAACCAGGAAAUUUUUUCAUUGAAUUCUUUUUCUUUUCAUAAUUGCCAUUUUCAAGUCUUCGCUGCCCAUAUAACCAAACUUGUGUUUUGUGCAUUUUAUAUGACACUACUCAAAAAAAAAAAAAUGUUGUAAGCAGUGACCAUGAACCUUACCUACUGAGUAAUGUCAUCCUAAAGUAUGGUAUUUACACUUCAUUAAUGCACAUCAAACCCAAAUGGGAUCUUUAAAACCAUUAUUGGAGAGAGUAUUAAAUGUUCAGUGAAUGUGACUGGUCUCUGUUACUGACAAUCUGUGAUUGUGUAGAUAUGAAAGAUGCAAAAGGAGAGAAGCAACUGAAGGCGAUGUUAGCCCUCUGUACAUGUCAUCAAUCUAAUUCUAACAGUUAAAAAUUACAACUUUACAUUGCCUGGAGUUAUCUCAUUACUUACCUGUUUUCUCUAGAGAGAUAACUAGAAAGAUAAGUGGGGGGGGGGGGGAAUAACAGCAAAGACAGUAAGAGUACCAUAGAAUGAAAAACUAGAAAUCAAGGUUCACUUGCCCCGAACAUACACACAUACCUUCCCCACCACCACCACCUUUUUUUUCCAGAGACAGAUUUUCUUUAUAGCUCUGGCUAUCCUGGGGCUAUCUGUGAAAACCAAGCUGGCCUGAAACUGACAGAGAUACACCUCGCCACCCUUUCUUUUCUACUAAGCUAAUUAGGUAACUAAUAACUGUGAGGUGUUCCAGAAUAAGUUUCAAGUUAAGUAGAAAUAAGUUGGUGUUUCUUUGAGACAGGGUUUUUCUACAUAGCCUUACCUGGCUGCUCUAGAACUCACUGUGUAGACCAGGCUGGCUUUGAACCCACAGAGAUCCUACUGCCUCUGCCUCCCUAGGGCCAGGGUUACAGGCAUGUACCACCAUGCUGACAAAAAAAUGAGUUUCUUAUAGCCUGUCAUGGCUGAGGUAAGUAAAUUUUUAGAGGAUAGAUACUUCAGUACUGUGACAGAAGUGGCUUAAAAAGUAUUUGACAUGGGAAGUAAUUCUAUCAUGCAUGAUAGAAUAUGUAUGUCCCAUCCAUUUGGGAGAUGUGAUACGCAGAUCCCUAAAGUCAGAUGGGUCAGAUGGCCGGCUUAAGGAAUAACAAGUGUAUGGGAACUCCAAAAUCCAAAGUGCAAAUAAGACUGUUUGAUUGAUGUAAAACUAAAGUAUUUGUCAAGCCAUUUCAGCUACUAUACAUCAUGGUAGGUAAGUAGAUACCUAUGGUCACAAUAGAUCAGCAGAAAGUUGGUUUUGUCAUCUAGUGUAGGCUUUAGCAAUAGAAGGAUGAGUCUCACUUUCAUAUGAUGUUGGCAUAUUAAUUCUGGGCUUUUACUGGUAUAAAAAUUAUUUGCCUACUUCAUUGAAUUGUCCAAAGAAUUAAGGAAGUAUAUGAAGAAAAGUACUUAAUAUUCCCAACGGCAGUAUUGUGUAUGAUCUUAGGACAGAAUCUGAGGGAAAAACAACUUUAUGCACUAAGAUCCACUAAACUAAAAGUUACCACUUUUAAGCAUUAAAAGUUGACUUUCUGUAUUAUAAAUCCAUGUUCUUUCAGUUUUAACUGUCAUCAAUACUAUAUUUAGUAAUACCCUAUAUAAUAUAUAAAAUCUCUGCAUAUACAAUUUACAGUUAACCAGAAAACUUCCCAUUAAAGAUGGAAAUAAUGAGAGCAUCUGAGUAAUAACUACCCAUUUGGGAGAUGUGAUAUGCAGAUCCCUAAAGAAAGACGGGUUGGAUGGCCUGCUUAAAGACUGACAGGUAUAUGGGAACUCCACAAUCCAAAGUGCAAAGAAGACUGUUAGUGUCUAGACCCUCCAUUCCUGCACUGACUAUGAUGUCAGUUUAGAGGAGUGAGGUCUGAAUCAGUCCUGAAUUUUAAAAUGAUCUUAGCACAUUACUAAGUUCGGAGACAGGCAGACAGAUCUCUUGAAUUCAAGGCCAACAGGAACUACAUAAUGAGAUCCUGUCGUACAAAAUAACCGAAAACACCAACAUGAAUAAUUUACCACCAAAGUCAGAUUUCUCCAUAUAGAUGGUCCUAAUUCACUUGAGUCCCCUGCCCCUACUAGACACCUAUAUUGACCCUAUGGCUUUGUGUUUACAAAUGCUUGUUUUGCCACUGAGUGAUAUGUCCAGUCCUAACUUUUUUUUUUCCUUUUUUCUUUUUUUCGGAGCUGGGGACCGAACCCAGGGCCUUGCGCUCGCUAGGCAAGCGCUCUACCACUGAGAUAAAUCCCGAACCCCCAGUCCUAACUCUUAAUUGUAAGCCUAGUUCCCAGUGUGUCUCAUCCUUGUUACAAUUCCAAGACAGAUACUAGAGCAUUAGAUACUCAGUGAAGCAUAUUGUCCAACCAUGUAAGUAAGUGUUGUUUAGAUUCAGUGGGUAGAUAAUAUAAUUACUUUAGGGAAAUUGUAAAUUGGGGAUUAUUAAUGUGUUAUUAAAACAAAGGUAUUGAAUAAGAAACUGCUCUAUAAUAUACUUAAUAGUGUCAAUAUUUGAACCACAGUUUGAACCAAUUGUAAAUUUUUUAUUCAAUAACAAUUGUGUACUGAGCUUAAGGGCCUGGAGAUACAAUGAUACCUGUGCCCCUCCAAGUCAUGACAUACCCUGUUUCAGUAUCAUGGAUCCCCCCUCCCCUUUCUUUAAGUGUAUAAAGUACAGUGGGUUAAUUAAGGAAGAGAGUAAUAGGGGUUGGGGAUUUAGCUCAGCGGUAGAGCGCUUGCCUAGUGAGCGCAAGGCCCUGGGUUUGGUCCCCAGCUCCGGAAAAAAAAGAAAAAAAAAAAAGGAAGAGAGUAAUAAAUCUUAAAUUUUUAAUUGUUACAGAGAACUACAUUUUUUUUUAAACUCUAGGUUAUCAAGUAGUGUCCAGCAGACAUAUUUCAAAGUGCCUGCAGGAAUGUUAUAAGAAAAUGUACUUCAAGACAUUUACUGCUAAUACUGUAAUUUGUUUACAUUAAGCAUUUUUCUUUAUUUUUAAAAAAAUUUAUUUAUUUUAUGUUUGUGAGUACACUGUUGCUGUGGACAGACACAUCAGAAGGCACUGGAUCCUAUUACAGAUGGCUGUGAACCCACAGAUGUUUGCUAGGAAUUGAACUCUUAACCGUAACCGCUAAGCUAUCUCUCCAGCCCAGAUUUUUUUCUUUAUUAUAAAAAGUACAAAUAGAAAAACACAAAGCACACACUGAAAUUUACCAAAUUGUAAUAUUUUUCUUUGAGAUUUUUUUAAUUCAUUUUGAUCAUCCUUUCCUCUUCCCAGAUUACAUUCAGAUUUUAAUAAAAGUCACUAAAAGUAAAGAAUUAACUUAUACCUAGUUUUGGGGUGCUGUCUAUAAGCCUGGAAUACCUUAUGUUCAUUGAUAAUUCUAUGCUUAAAAACUUAAUUCUAAGCUGGGUGGUGGUGAUCCGUGCCUUUAAUCCCAGCACUUGUUAGGGUUUAGUGUCAGGCAGGUGGAUCUCUGAGUUCCAGGCUAUCCUGAUCUACUGACUAAGUUCUAGGACAGCCAGGACUACACAGAGAAAGUCUGUUGGGAGCAGGAGGGACCUUAAUUCUAUUAACUAUUCUCAUUACUGUACCUAAGGCCAAUUAAGGCAAAUUUAGUGGUACCUAGCACAGAGGAGGCUAGGGGAGUAGGAUAGAUACCAGCCUGUACAAUAUAAACCUUAUCUCAACAUUGAAAACAUGGACCUCGUCCCGUUUAAUUCAAAAUACAUAUGAAAUAAAUUUAAGGGGCUGGAGAGGUGGCUCACUAUGGGCUAUCAGUCCUUUUUCAGGCGAUCUAAUUCUUUUGGCCUCUGGGUAUCAAGCACACAAUGCACAGACAUAAGUGCACGUUGAGCUGGAUGGUGGUGCACACACCUUUAGAUGGAUCUGAGUUUGAGACCAACCUGGUCUACAGAGCAAGUUCCAUGAAAGCUAAGACUAUACAGCAAAACCCUGUCUCAAACAAAAUCUUUUUUAAAAAAAGAGGUGGGGGUUGGGGAUUUAGUUCAGUGGUAGAGCGCUUGCCUAGCAAGCGCAAGGCCCUGAUUCGGUCCCCAGCUCCGGGAAAAAAAAAAAAAGAAUACAUGAAUUUAAGAAAUCUUUCUUCGGGGCUGGGGAUUUAGCUCAGUGGUAGAGCGCUUACCUAGGAAGCGCAAGGCCCUGGGUUCGGUCCCCAGCUCCAAAAAAAAAAAAAAGAAAUCUUUCUUCAAUGGUGAAACAUCCAUUUUAGAAUCAUCCAUUUGUUUCUCACAGCUCCAGUACAGGUGUACUGAAAAUGUGGGCCUGGCUAUGUCUAGUACAUCUGGUAUAUGUUUAGUGAGGGCUUAGUAACACAAGUACAGUGUUGGAGAAUAGUAAAUUCAAGGAGCUUCAUGGAAGCAAUACCUGGGAUUACGCUGCUCAAUAAGUAGACACUGAAGAGGUGGUUUCUAAUAUAAGAAUAUCAGCAUUAUACGGUUAUAAUCUCAACAGAGAACAAAUAGUGACAGUUCAUGUUUAGCUAUCAUUUUCAUUGCUUGCUAUAGGAGGUACCAGUUUUGAAAUUUUAGCACAAGUCCAGGUAACUUAGCAGGUAAACCUGACUUGUUUCAACCCCCAGAACCCACCUUACAAGGAAAACCUCUGUAAAGUUGUUCUCUGACCUUAUGUCUGCCAGCCUAAACUCACAUAUACAUUAUACACUAACACAAUGUAAACCUUAAGAACAAGGGCGCCUGACAGUGUCCUUUAACAAGGAAAGGAGCUGAAAAUAUAACAGGUUUGUUUAACCUUAAAUCCACUGCACAGGAACCGCUACUUGGAUCAAGAAAAAGCAAAAAGAAAAAUUACAUUUUUGAGUAUGUUUUCUGCACAUAUCCCAAAGAAGUGCAGCAACCAUUGUCAUACAGACCUGGUGACAAAAUUCUGUUUAAAGCACACCAUCUGUGCAUGAUUUCAUUAAACAUACCAGGACUUGGGAAGUUUGAGUUAAGAACUGGCUUGGGCAUUCCAAGAUCAUAUCUCAGAAAACAUCCUGGAUGCUGGGAUUAAAGGUAUGUACCACCAUUCCUAGCUUAGAAUUGCAUACAUUUUUAAGGCCUUAAAUGUAUAUAUUUAUGCUAUAGUAAUUAUCUCUAUUUUGUCUUUACAGUGUAACCGUUGAUGAACUCCACUCUCCGCGAAAAAUAAUACCAAGAUUUUUGGAGUUCAUAGCUCACAAUUCAACAGUUCUUAAUCCUUAUACACAUACAGAGAGAUUUUCACAUACUUGUCCAGAAUGAAAAGCAAUGUAGACAAAAAAUUCUCUUUGAACAAACACAAUAGUAUAAGUGAAGAAUGAUUUCCAAGGCCCUCUGCUCCGCAUAGGAACCUUAGAUCAGAAUCUGACCCUAUCAGUACUGAUACUACUUAACUGUGAGUGGUCCUUAGUAACAGGUACUGAGCUCAGUGAUUCCUAAUGUCAACCUAGCGGGACCUGGACUUGUUACAAUACACACAUAGACCACUGCUAAGUUCCAGGAGCUAAAUACUGCCUCGUUGAUCCUAAGCAUAUAGGAUAAAGGGCUUUCCCUUCCAGAACAGUUAAUAUGCCUGGGCCAUGUGUUACUGAAGUACAGCAGAUCUAUCACAGUUUUAAAAACAAUGCUGUCUUUUUCUUUUCCUUUGGAGCUGGGGACCGAACCCAGGGCCUUGCACUUGCUAGGCAAGCGCUCUACCACUGAGCUAAAUCCCCAACCCUAAUACUGUCUUUUUAAGACAGGGUUUUACCUUAUAGACUAGGUUGGCCCCAAAUUUGGCAAUCCAUCUGCUUUUGCCUCCUGAGUGCUAGUAUUAUUUAAGGGGUUACUUUCUGUGGGUUGUAGGUAUAGGUGAGUGCUGAUGUCAGAGGAGGCCAGAGGUGCCAGAUCUCCCUGUACCUAGUUAACUAAGUAACUAUGAGGUACCCAACUUAGUUGUUGGGACCCAAACUUCAGCCGGAUGAUAGAACAACAUUCACAGUUAACCAGUAGGCAUCACCAAUUCCUUGAGAGCUACAUCCACUCCGUCUUCCUGGUCCUAUUUUCCCGCACUCACCACCACCAGGUCUUGAGAUGGAUUGGAUUAGCCUGUAAUUUAGAACUCUGGUUGCCUUCCAAAAGCUGCGAUUGCUGGCUUCUCUAACCAGCUUCUGGCUUCUGUUUUUGUUUAAAAAAAUAAAUAACUGGGUGUGGUGGUACGUGCUUUUAAGUCCUGGCACUGGGGACAUGAAGGUAGGAGGAUAUUCAAGGUCAGCUUGGUGUAGAGUUUCCAGGACAGCCUGGCCUAUAUAAACUCAACCAGUUGUGUUUUUAAGACGGGAUUUCUGUAACCCCAUAGUAUAAUCAUGCCAUGUUUGUAUAUACAAGGCACUAAUUUUGGUCUGUCAAAGAAUCUGCUCUGUAGCCAGGCUGACCUCAUGUUCUGGCCUGCCUCUGCCCACUGAGCGCU
ensembl:lncRNA